UACGGAGGGGGCUAGCGUUGUUCGGAAUUACUGGGCGUAAAGCGCGCGUAGGCGGCUUUGUAAGUUAGAGGUGAAAGCCCGGAGCUUAACUCCGGAAUUGCCUUUAAGACUGCAUCGCUAGAAUCGUGGAGAGGUAAGUGGAAUUCCGAGUGUAGAGGUGAAAUUCGUAGAUAUUCGGAAGGAACACCAGUGGCGAAGGCGACUUACUGGACAC
rnacentral:rRNA from 1 species